rnacentral:lncRNA from 1 species
CUUCAUUGAGCUCUGGCCAAUACGCUGCCAAUUAUUCUUUCAAAUAGCGUCUUCUCUGUGUUAUCAAAGCCUGAGUAAGAAAGCGGCAGAUCCUCUGGUUUGCCAGACAUACUUUUCUGGUUGCUCACAUCUCUAGUGUCACAACAGGAGCCAGUGUACCCUGGACGACAUUGUUACAUGUGCUUUCCCAAAUCCACGGACUUCUGGCUGAUCCGGGGUUGCAAUAUGCACUGCACCACCAUCCUCUCUCUUGGAAAUUCCCUUCGGCUGGGAAAGAAAUGGAUGAUCAAGCCCACUGCCAUGUUGCAAGUUGCCCUGUGAAGAGGCCUCCAUGACAAGGAACUGUAGGGUCCCCUGGACAACAGCCAGCAAGGCAAUGAGACCCUUAGUCUCAUCAAUAGUCUACGAGGAACUGAAUCUUGCAAGAACCACAUGGAUGAGGUUGCAAGGUCCAAUUAGAUAAACUCAUCCUCGCUGGCAGAUAAUGGCACCAAUGUGAUCAUCCUCCUAGAGGUAUUUUCAUCUUGGUAUGGAGCCUCCAGAGCUAUCUUUGCUUGAAAGAAUGAAACUUCAGGAAUGAAAGUUUGCACAUAAAGCAAGCCCAUGAGAAAGACAUUUCGGGAAAACUAGAAUCCUGUUAAGUUAUGGGAUUUUUUUCAAGCCACAUGGUUGAUAAGUAGUCUGACCAGGAUCCUGGAGCAACACAAGGAAGACAAGGACCCUUGAAGACAAGGCAGCCUUGAAACCAAAUGAAGCCCUGGGCCAGUGAGCAUGGCAAGAGGAAGACUGUUAAUUGCGAGAAAGCUGGGUCUUGAAGAUGAUUCCAUAUCAACAUACAGGGAGUUCCACCACUGAAUGGUCUAUCGGUUGGGAAUGCCAUCAUUUAUUUUCACCAGUGGGGAAGAAUUGGUAUUAAUAUCAAAACCACAGUACUGUCAUACCCAGCUAUAAUUUGCAAUGUUUAUAUGCCUGUACGAAUGAAUAAUUAACAGUUAAAUGAAUCAAUAUAUAUCUAUCUAUGUGUAGGAAUAUCUAAUCUAUAAUAUAUGCUCGCGUAAGUGGUAAUUAAUCUCUUUUUUGAGACAGGGUCUUUCUCUGUCAUACAGGCUGGAGUGCAAUGACAUGAUUAUGGACCUUCAGGGAUUGAGCAGCUCGACAUCCCAAGGAUCAAGCAAUCCUCCGGCCUCAGCCUACCAAGUAGCUGGGACUACAGCCAUUUGACACCCCACCCAGUUAAUUUUUGUUUUUUGUUUUUUUGUAAAGACAAGGUUUAGCCAUGUUGCCCAGGCUGGUCUGGAACCCCUGGGUUCAAGCAAUCCUCCCACCUCAGCUUCCCAAAGUGCUGGGAUUAUAGGCAUAAGCCACUGCACCCAGCAUAAAUAAUCUCUUAUUUGUUCAUCCAUGGUGUUGUCUUUAGUUUUUAAAAAUGGAUCCUUUUGUUAUUCUUUUAUAGCCCCAGAUUAAGAAUUUGUCCAAGUUUUGUAUAUUUUUUCAGUUAUUUCAAUAUCAAAGCCCAGCACAUCUUUAAAAUCACUUCUAUGUAUAGAUAUUAACCUUUUUGACAUUUGUGUUUUGGUAUUCCAUAUUUACUCAGUUCUCCUUUCACACCCUCCCUUUAGAAGAGGAGUAUGACCAUGGCAGGAUGGAGGGGUAGUGGCAGUAGGGGCCAUAGUAUGUUUUCUAUAUUUAUCCAGCAUAUUUAAAACAUGGUAUUCUAGCUUCAAGGGAGAACAUUGAACUCCCAUUUGGACAUGUUAAGUUGAAGAUGUCUGUUAGACACCCAAGAGAAUAUGUCAAGCAGAUAUCAUCUGCCCUUGUUUUUCCUUUUCCAAACUGGCUCUCCUUAGUUCCAUCUCCAGAUGACAUGGUCCUCAAACCCUUUGUGAUCUUGGUUCUCUACUCCAGUUCUUCAAUGUUUUUCUUGAAUGUGGCACCCAGAAUUAAAUAGAGCACCCCAGAUAAUGGCUGCCCAGCAGGAUAGACAUGUGUUUGUUAUAUAAUUCUUAGAGACUAUAGCUGACGUCACUGGUGCCCAGCCCAUAUCUUCUUGAGCCCUAGCAUUUUCGUGCAUGGUGGCCUGAUUUCUAACUGUCAGCACCUAAAUAUCUUUGCCUGAGGACUUUCUCUGUCGGCCAGAGCCUGCUUUGUGCACAGUCAGAAGUGCCAAGGAGUCAACACUCCCCAAAGGAGUCUUCAGCCAGUAACGAAAUGAAAGGUGGAGUAUAAAAACCCCAGCUCCCUCACCACUCAGCUGGGGUAGCCCUGAGAUUCAUGCUCUCCACCCUCUUCAGAGUUUCCCGGCAGCAUCAUGUUCCUGUUACCCUUCUCACUACUGACUUGAUGCUCAUCCUUUCUUGGCUCCUUCCCUGUGUCACUUCCCCCAUCCCAUAUGGGAGAAGGCUUCCUGGGUUCACCUUCCAAAGUAAUUACUGGUACUGGAAUUCUCAUCUCAAGUUUUGCCUUAGGGUCACCCAAACUAAGACAGUGCCUAAUGCUGCAUCAGCUUUCUUACCAGUCACAUGAUGCUGUUGUAUCCUUAAUGUCAGAUAAACUCCCAGCUUCUUUUUAUGUCAACUGCUACCAAGCCACACAUUCUCAGUGCUGUGCCUUUGUUAUUGAUUUUUUAACCUAAACUCAGAGUUUAUGUUUAUUCCUGUUAUACUCUUAAGUUUUUUUCCAUAUUCCAACCUAACAGAAUAACUUUGAAUAUUGAUUUGUUCUUUCGUUGUGUUAACUAUCCCUUCCAGACAUGAGUCAUAUGUAGAAAUCUGAUAAGCAUGUUUCCUGUGCCUUCAUUCACUUAAAACAAACAAACAAACAAACUUUGAACAAGGUAGGGUUAGGAAAAGAAUUCUAAACUCAAUUCCUCCCAUUGUUCAAUAAUCAAGAUUCUUUCAGUAAGAAUGCUUAUUGGUAGUGAUUCAAACUAUCUGCACCAGUUCAACCCAGAAUUUACAAAUUUGCCCAUAGGAAUAUCAGGCAAGCUCAGCUCAGUUGCUUUGCUAGAAUAGAGAAGAUCCACAAUUAUGUCAUGCCUCUGAUACAUGAGCCUAUAACCUUAUCAGAAAGGAAAUAUGGUUCAUUUGGCUUGUUAUUAGCAAUUUUAUUUUAACCACUAAGAACCUCUGAAUUCAUUUCUAAAACCCUCCAAUCUUCCUUUUAUUUUCUUUUAUUUAUAUAUAUAUAUUUUUAUUUUAUUUUACUUUAUUUUUGAGACAGAGUCUCACUCUGUCACCAGGCUGGAGUGCAGUGGCAUGAUCUCGGCUCACUGCAACCUCUGCAUCCCGGGUUCAAGCAAUUCCUCUGCCUCAGCCUCCCAAGUAGCUGGGAAUACAGGUGCACACCACCAUGCCCAGCUAAUUUUUGUAUUUUUAGUAGAGAUGGUGUUUCACCAUGUUGGCCAGGAUGGUCUCGAUCUCUUGACCUUGUGAUCUGCCCACCUCGGCCUCCCAAAGUGCUGGGAUUACAGGCGUGAGCCAUCACGCCUGGCCUCCAAUCUUCCUUUUAAUAAUUUGAUCUGGAAUUUUAUCAGGGAGCUAUGCAUGCAUGUCAGGGGAGAUCAAGUUUAUGGUUUCCAGAAUCUACACUUUCUUUUUGAGAAUGGGAACUUUUGCCAGUACAUUGUUUUCCUAUCCUCAUUUCCAUAAUUUCUCAACAACAGUAAGUAGUUUUAAGGUCACAUUUGCAAGUUUUUUGAGGAGCCUGGGAUGUAACUUUUCUGGAGACUUCAACCUACUUUAAAUGGUCACAUGCCCCCUGUGUCCCUCACUGCCUCCCUUCUGCUGAGCUCUCCCCAGUCCUGGGAAGGCUGAUUCUUUAGCUAGAGAACCCAGACCAGCCCUGUGGCCUCAUAUUUCCACAUCAGCCUUCUUGAAUCUGUGUUCCUCCCCCCUCACUUAUCUUUUUACAUCAAACACAUGGCUCAAAGCUUUUGAUAUUUGACUUGACUCUUCAGGACCCCAAGCUCCUCUGACUCAGCCCUCCACCCCCCACCCCUAACCCACGGCCCACUCUGCUUGAGGGCUCCCCAAAACCUCAAACUCCACCGUAAGCUCCCUGAGCAGCCACAAGGAUUUUGGGGUUUGGUUUGGUUUUGCCUCUUACUCCCUUUUCAUUUUCCCUGGCAUCAUUCACAUUCACCAAUCAGAUUCAUUUUUAUCAUCUCCUAUUCCUCAUGAGAAAUACAUUUUUUUAUAACCUUUUACCUUGAAUUCAAAUCCAUUUUUCCUCUGAAGCACCUGAGGUGAGGUGGGUAUCUCCUCUUGUCCUAAUCUUAUCCACAUGCCAUGAUAUGGUUUGUCUGUGUCCCUACCCAAAUCUCAUCUUGAAUCAUAGCUCCUGUAAUCCCCAUGUGUUGUGGGAAGAACCUGGUGGGAGGUAAUUGAAUCAGAGGGGUGGGUUUUUCCCAUGCUGUUCUUGUGAUAAUGAAUAAGUUUCAUGAGAUCUGAUGGUUUUAUAAAGGCGAGUUCCCCUGCAAAAUGCUCUCUUUCCUGCCACCAUGUAAGAUGUGACUUUGCUUCUCCUUUGCUUCCACCAUGAUUGUGAGUCCUCCCCAGCCAUGUGGAACUGUGAGUCAAUUAAACCUCUUUCCUUUAUAAAUUACCCAGUCUCAGAUAUGUCUUUAUUAGCAGCAUCAAAACAGACUAAUACACACCACCAGUUUUCCUCCUGCAUGUUCCUCAGUUCUGCUAGAACUGUAAAAAGAUGGAUUCCAUAGACUGGAGUCACCCUGAGGGCAGGGAUGGACCCCUAU